rnacentral:tRNA from 1 species
GCCAUCGAACAGGGUGCGCAGGGCCUCCCCUUAAAAGGGUCCCGGUGUCGGUUCGAGUCCGACCGGGGGCA